rnacentral:tRNA from 1 species
GGGCCUUUAGCUAAGUCUGGUCACAGCACCCGGCUCAUAACCGGGCGAUUCGCCGGUUCAAAUCCGGCAGGGCCCA